CCUACGGGAGGCAGCAGUGAGGAAUAUUGGUCAAUGGGCGUGAGCCUGAACCAGCCAAGUAGCGUGAAGGAUGACUGCCCUACGGGUUGUAAACUUCUUUUAUAAAGGAAUAAAGUGAGGCACGUGUGCCUUUUUGUAUGUACCAUAUGAAUAAGCAUCGGCUAACUCCGUGCCAGCAGGCGCCGUUAUUCGGAGGAGGCGAGCGUUGUCCGGAUUUAUUGGGUUUAAAGGGUGCGUAGGUGGGUAAUUAAGUUCGCGGUGAAAAUUUGUGGCUCAAACAUAAAAUUGCCGUUGAAACUGGUUGACUUGAGUAUAUUUGAGGUAGGCGGAAUGCGUGGUGUAGCGGUGAAAUGCAUAGAUAUCACGCAGAACUCCGAUUGCGAAGGCAGCUUACUAAACUAUAACUGACACUGAAGCACGAAAGCGUGGGGAUCAAACAGGAUUAGAUACCCGAGUAGUC
rnacentral:rRNA from 1 species